rnacentral:rRNA from 1 species
UACGUAGGUGGCGAGCGUUGUCCGGAUUUAUUGGGCGUAAAGAGCGUGUAGGCGGCCAGACAGGUCCGUUGUGAAAACUCGAGGCUCAACCUCGAGACGUCGAUGGAAACCGUCUGGCUAGAGUCCGGAAGAGGAGAGUGGAAUUCCUGGUGUAGCGGUGAAAUGCGCAGAUAUCAGGAAGAACACCUAUGGCGAAGGCAGCUCUCUGGGACGGUACUGACGCUGAGACGCGAAAGCGUGGGGAGCGAACAGG